AUUAUUAUUAUUAUUAUUUUUAACAAAAAAAAGAAAAGUACAAAAGCAGUGAACUAAGCCAGAAGGGUCUUAUUCAGCAUCCAUUUUCAUAAACAAUAUCUCCGAACGGACCAUAAAUGAGAACCAUCAGCAUAUGUUGUUUAACCAACAUGCUCAAAUAAAAACAGCAGAACACAUUUAUCAUUAUGAAGGUCUCGUCUAUUGACAUUCUUAGAAAGAAAAAGACAUUACAUGCAGUCAUAUCCAACUAAAAUGGUAAACUGUCCUACACUCACCACUUUUCUGAGCUGGAAGACCUCCACCAUGUAAUCAAGAGAUGACAAAUCCAAGAGUUUGAAAUGGGGAGAAAAUUUAAAGUAGUGAAUCAAAGGAUUAAACCUUGAACAGUUGCAGGCUUGGAAGUUGGUAGUUCACUUUCAGCAGAUGCUUUUGGUGACUCAGAUAGGUGAACCUGUGCAAAGUCAUCCACCAUUUUUCUCUUUUGCUCCUCUUCGGCCAUUCCUACCUUCUCUUUUGCCUUCUGACCAACUUCCCCAGCUGCCUUUGCAACCUUGUUGAAUGCACCAGUCACCCAAGAAGCCCCAGCAAAAACAUACCGAUUGCUCAUAAUAGCAGAUCCUGCAUUACUGACUUUUUGUUCAGCUGCUGCAAAUGCUGAUUUAGUUUUCUCUGAAACCUGAAAUUUCUGAUCCACUUCCCAGACUUUGUCACCCACAAUAGUCGUGCCAGCACUGAUCUUCUCAGUGAAGCCUAUUUUUUUGUCAAAAGAACUAACUUUAGCUGAGGCUGUUGAAGUCAAUUGGUGCUUCUCAUCCAAAGUCUUUGCUUUGUUGACUGCAUCUUUGCCUAAGAUAUAGCCCUUAGCAAGCAUGCCAGAAACCACAUCCUCUGCCUUCCGGAAGGCAGAUUCAGUACCACCAGGAGUUUUAUUUUCCAUUGCUGAGGGUUCUAAGGCUGCAGGUGGAAGCUUAUAAUCUGGAUCUGGAGUUAUGGUGACAGAGAGGUCUACUAUUGUUGCUCCCGAAAGAAGAACAGCAGUUUCUGCACCCUGUGAAUCUUUGAAGGUAACAUAUGCAAUUUGAGAUCUCUCGUUAUCACUCUGUACUUCAACAUAUUCAAUAUCACCAGAAAAAGAGAAGAACUCCUUGAGGUCUCGCUCAGUUGCUCCUAAAGAAACAUUACUGACUUUGACAGUUCUUACCGACAUGGUGAACUAAUUUGAAGAGAAACAAGGUAUUGAUGAAGGAGAUUUUCAAUUCUUGGAUAUAAUAGAGGAGGAAGGAGAAGGAGAAGGGGAAGGGGAAGGUUUAUGAAGCACACGCAUUGGCGAAGGGGCAAGCAGACGCCGGCCGCCGUGUCAAGUGCGUCGGAAGGGAGAUUCCGGUGCUCAAAGAAAA
rnacentral:misc_RNA from 1 species